CUCGCUUUUGUUUUUGCACCUACAUCUCACAUUGUCCGUUAUCAUGUGAACCAUUCGAACAUGUGGUGGUUGAUUGUGUUGGACCGUUACCGAAGACAAAAUCGGGUAACCAGUUGCUGUUAACGGUUAUGUGUAUGGCAACAAGAUACCCCGAGGCCAUUCCUCUGCGAAGGAUUACAGCUCCGGUGGCCCAUCCCUCCCCCUGUGUCAUCGAUGGCCGGCCAGCGUAUACGUUGAGACACCACCUGAGGGUUCGACCACGGUGCAGGGGUUUCCAGUACCUGGUUGACUGGGAGGGUUAUGGCCCGGAGGAGAGGUGCUGGGUUCCCGCUAAAGACAUCUUGGACCCGGCCCUCAUUGCCAACUUUUACCGCCGGCAUCCCAGUCAA